AGAUCAGUAGUUUAAAAAAAAUAUUAGUUUUCGGGGCUAAAGAUAUCAUAAGAUUAGUCUC
rnacentral:tRNA from 1 species